AUUGAACGCUGGCGGCAGGCCUAACACAUGCAAGUCGAGCGGAGCGGCUUACGGGAUAGUAAUGCCUAGGAAUCUGCCUGGUAGUGGGGGAUAACGUCCGGAACCGGGCGCUAAUACCGCAUACUAUCAGAUGAGCCUAGGUCGGAUUAGCUAGUUGGUGGGGUAAAGGCCUACCAGGGCGACGAUCCGUAACUGGUCUGAGAGGAUGAUCAGUCACACUGGAACUGAGACACGGUCCAGACUCCUAUGGGAGGCAGCAGUGGGGAAUAUUGGAAAAUGGGCGAAAGCCUGAUGCAGCCAUGCCGCGUGUGUGAAGAAGGUCUUCGGAUUGUAAAGCACUUUAAGUUGGGAGGCGUUACCAACAGAAUAAGCACCGGCUAACUUCGUGCCAGCAGCCGCGGUAAUUC
rnacentral:rRNA from 1 species